rnacentral:rRNA from 1 species
UACAGAGGGGGCAAGCGUUAUUCGGAAUUAUUGGGCGUAAAGGGCGCGUAGGCGGCUUUGCAAGUGACGGGUGAAAUCCCUCGGCUUAACCGAGGAACUGCCUGUCAGACUGCAUGGCUUGAGACCGGGAGAGGUGAGUGGAAUUCCCAGUGUAGCGGUGAAAUGCGCAGAUAUCAGGAAGACCACCCGUGGCGAAAGCGGCUCUCUGGAACGGUACUGACGCUGAGACGCGAAAGCGUGGGGAGCGAACAGG